CUAGCACUCAUGUCUGUAGCCAUGAAGUGCUUUGAAAGGCAGGUCAUGGCUCACAUAGCACAUGCGACAAAUACAUUUAUUUGAUUUGAUUCUUGGGUCUCACAGACACUAACCACAAGCUAUUUCCUUUAGUUCUGCGCUGAAUCACAUAAGAAACAUUUCAUGGGUUGUCUUCUUUUGGCAUAUAGCUAAAGGGAAACUGUAGUUGUUCAGUAAUUUUGCUUCAUUGUGAAAGCAGACAGUAUGGAGGCGAUUCAAGAAUGGGUCAAACAAUCAAAGGGAAUUGUGCCUAAUGUGGCUUGUAGCUUCUGCCUUGUGGUCUUGGAGAAGAUUCUGGAGCUGGAGGUUCGGUGUCCCUGCAAUUAUAUAUAUAAAAUGUUCUUUACGAUUGCAUUCUUUAUCAUUCCUGCCCUGUUAUCAUUCUUGCUGAUGCUACAAGUUCAAGGAUCUAGGGGUAACAUAGUAAAAUGGAAGGCUUACUUGUCAAGCCUCAUUCCUUCGUUGGUGUGGUGGAUCGUACUGUUCUUUGAUGGCAGAUACGUUGCUUAUGCCAUGACAAAAUUAAAUGAAACAGGGGUCAUUCGUAAUGAAGAUUUUUCUGUGAAAAUGUGUGACGAAGCAGGGAAAGAUCAACAUCAGAAUUUCCUUUUUUGGGAAAUCUGUUCUCAGGGCAUUGGUAUGGCUCUGCUCUUGGUCGCCUGUGGGGCAGUUAUAGUAUCCAUAUGCAACAACUACACCUGGGAUUUAGGAGAAGUCAGUGAUGACGUUACAGAAAGAAGAAGAGGCAUCGGAAGCAGUGUAAGAACAGGAGGAGGAGGACGAGGAGGAAGAGGUGGAGGAGGACUAGGAGGAAGAGGAGGAGAAGGAACAGAAGCAGCACAGGCAUCAGAAGCAGGAGGAGGAGCAGGAGCAGGAGGAGGAGGAGGAGGAGGAACAGGAGCAGAAGCAGCACAGGCAUCAGAAGCAAGAGGAGGAGCAGGAGGAGUACAGGCAUUAGAAGCAGGAGGAGGAGCAGCAGAAGAAGAAGCAGUACAGGCAUCAGAAGCAGGAGGACGAGGAGGAGGAGGAGCAGGAGCAGGAGGAGUACAGGCAUUAGAAGCUGGUGGAGGAGGAGGAGGAGGAGGAGGAGCAGGAGGAGUACAGGCAUUAGAAGCAGGAGGACGAGGAGGAGGAGCAGGAGAAGGAGGAGUACAGGCAUUAGAAGCAGGAGGAGGAGGAGGAGGAGGAGGAGCAGGAGAAGGAGGAGUACAGGCAUUAGAAGCAGGAGGAGGAGGAGGAGCAGGAGGAGUACAGGCAUUAGAAGCAGGAGGACGAGGAGCAGGUGCAGAAGCAGUACAGGCAUCAGAAGCAGGAGGAGGAGCAGGAGAAUCAGAAGCAGGAGGAGGAGAAGGAAGAGGAGCAGAAGAAGUAGAUGCUUUGCUUCCAGAAAUUUGACGUCACCCCAUUGAAGUUAUGAAUUAAAAAGGAUUCAGGUUAGGUUUAGGGUUUAGGGUGGGGUUGAAGAAGCUGUUGAGAUGGUACGCAGGCCCAGAAAUGGAUAAAAAUGUGCUGUAUAAAAUUACAUUGGUAAAAAUGGUAUGUUUGUUUUUUUCUUCUUCACACAAUCAAUAAGUAACCAAUUUAUAACGUUUUUAUUUCUGAGUGUGGAGAUUAAGGAGUGUUUUCUCUGACACAGAUUAAGCCUAGUCCUGGACUAAAAAACACGUUUAUUAGCGAGUCUCCAUUGAAAUGCUUUUUAGUCCAGGAUUAAGGUGUAUCCGUGUCCACAAAAGCGACACUAAGGCUGAGUUUACAAAGGAAGACCAACUCUGAUCUUUUGACAAUUAUUUGUUCUAUUUAAUACAGUACAUACAGUAUCUGAUGUUUUUUUUCCAGUGAGUAAAAAACAACAACAUAAAACACAUUGAAUCUGAUCUUUUGAGUUCUGGUUUGUACCACAUUUGUAUGUGGUUUCCAAUCAAUUCUGAUCCAUCAUGCAACAGUCUGGACGCUGAUUUCUUCCACAUGACCUGCAGUUGCCAAAACAACCACCCCAAAAUGUAAUGGAACAAUGACAGAAAAUGGACUGAAAAAACCCAUCUGAAUUGGGUUCCUACGUCCCUGCCACAUUACAGCCGUCGGUCGUCCUGCACUAUCAUCAGCCAUCAGCCAUUGAGGGAAUGCUUCCUUUGCAAUCAAUGAAAGCUACUGACAAGAGUAGUAGCUUAAGCCUCAGCUCUCUGUGACAUUGUAGAGACACAACUUGCAGAUACCCACGCACACUCAUGAAGAAGUUUCACUUUCACACGCAGAGCACAAAGAAGAAUGAACAUUGAGAGGGAAUUGGCAUUGAUUAAAGAAAAUAAGAAAUUAUUGGGAGUGGAAUUUGUUAAAAUAAUGAUUGAAGGUUAAAGGUUGGAAACGGGAAAAUAUACAGUCUGCAAUAUCCUGCUUAAAUUUGUCCACUUUGCCAAUGAAAUAAUCAAUAAAAUAAUUGGCAACAUCAAAUGGUUUUGUGAUGAAUAAGCCAUCUGAUUCGACGAAAGAUGGAGUUGAAUUUGUCUUUCUGCUCAUAAUUUUAUUAAAAGUACUGCAAAGUUUAAUAAAGUUCAUAGUACAGUUUCUUCUUCUCUUUGUUGAGUUUAGUCACAUCAUUUCUAGUAAGUAUUUGCAGUAAGUCAGCCAGUCAGAUGUGCAGCCAGACUUAUUAGUCACUCCUUUUGC
ensembl:lncRNA